UACAGAGGGUGCAAGCGUUGUUCGGAAUUAUUGGGCGUAAAGCGCGUGUAGGCGGCUUUGCAAGUCGGGUGUGAAAGCCCUCGGCUCAACCGAGGAAGUGCGCCCGAAACUGCAGAGCUUGAGUACCGGAGAGGGUGGCGGAAUUCCCCAAGUAGAGGUGAAAUUCGUAGAUAUGGGGAGGAACACCGGUGGCGAAGGCGGCCGACCUGGACGGAUACGUGACGCUGAGAUGCGAAAGCGUGGGAGCGAACAGG
rnacentral:rRNA from 1 species